UCAGAUCACGUAAGAUUUAAAUAGUCGAACAGACUAAAUUCAUUAACAUCUACCCCAAUAAUAUAUCUUAAUUCAACAUCGAGGUCGCAAUCCUAACUAUUAAUAAGAACUUGACAGUUAAAUAACGCUGUUAACCCUAGAGUAACUUAAAAUUAUAUCAUAAACCCCUUUUAUAAAGAAAUUUUCUCAAAAAUAUUUCUUUUCGUUUAUUACCCCAAUAAAAAAAUUUUAUUACUUAAAAAGCUUCUAGGGUCUUCUCGUCCCAAAGAUAAAUAAAAGCAUUUUUACUUCUAAUUUAAUUUCAAAUUUAUUAAAUAAAACUCUCCUAUUGGUAUCUACCCUUCAUUCCAGUCUACAAUUAAUAAA
rnacentral:rRNA from 1 species